rnacentral:tRNA from 1 species
AGCCCUAAAAGCUAACAGGCCAGCAAUUAAUCUUGUAAAUUAAGAGAUAGAAGUUCAAGUCCUCUAUAGGGUUA